GUGGGGAAUAUUGGACAAUGGGCGAAAGCCUGACCCAGCAACGCCGCGUGAAGGAAGAAGGUCUUCGGAUCGUAAACUUCUAUCCUUGGUGAAGAUAAUGACGGUAGCCGAGAAGGAAGCCCCGGCUAACUACGUGCCAGCAGCCGCGGUAAUACGUAGGGGGCAAGCGUUGUCCGGAAUGAUUGGGCGUAAAGGGCGCGUAGGCGGCCUGGUAAGUCUGGAGUGAAAGUCCUGCUUUUAAGGUGGGAAUUGCUUUGGAUACUGUCGGGCUUGAGUGCAGGAGAGGUAAGUGGAAUUCCCGGUGUAGCGGUGAAAUGCGUAGAGAUCGGGAGGAACACCAGUGGCGAAGGCGACUUACUGGACUGUAACUGACGCUGAGGCGCGAAAGUGUGGGGAGCAAACAGGAUUAGAAACCCGGGUAGUCC
rnacentral:rRNA from 1 species